UGGGCAUAUAUACCACAUUUUCUUCAGGCAGUCCUCCACGAGUGGCAUUUGGAUUGUUUCCAUCUCUUGGCUAUUGUAAUGCUGUAAUAACAUAAGUGAAAGAUCUCUUUUUUUAAAUGUAUUUUUAUUGGACACAAUGCCUUUAUUUUAUUUAUUUUUAUGUGGUGUUGAGGAUCGAACCCAGCGCCUCACACAUGCUAGACAAGCGCUCUACUACUGAGCCACAACCCCAGCCCCAAGAUCUCUUUUUUUAAACCAACUUGUUGAGAUAUAAUUCACAUACCAUACAGUUCACCCAUUUAAUAUGUACAAUUCAUUGGUUUUUAGGAUAUGGAAAGAUAUGUGCAACCAUUAAUUCUAGAACAUUUCCUCCACCUCAGAAAGAAACCUACUUUGUCUAUUUUGUCUGUCAUUGCUCAUCCCGAUCCUCCCCACCCAGCUCUGAGCAACCACUAAUUUGCUCUCUCUAAAAAUUUCUCUGAGACUUUCCUAUAAAUGAAAUAAUAUAUGACCUUUUGUGGCUGGCUUUUUUUCACUUAACACAGUGGGUUUUUCUUUGUUAGUUUAGGAGAUGGUGUUUCACUGUGUAGCCCAGGCUGGCUCAAACUCCUGGGCUUAAGGGGACCCUCAGCCUCAGCCUCAGGGUAGCUGGAUACAGGUGUGUGCUAUCACGUUUUGGUGGCAUCAUGCAUCCAUGAGGUCACAUACAUGUAUUAUUGUUUCACUUCUUUUUGUCCCUGAAUAAUAUCCCAUUGUAUGGAUACAACAUAUUUUUUCUUCUUGGUCUGGGGGAAGAAACCCAGCCCACACACAUGCCAGGCAAGCUCUCUACCAUUAAGCUAUACUCCUAAUCCUUACAUUUAAAAUAAUCCAUUCAUCAAUUGGUAAAUAUUUGUUUCCCACCUUUUGAAUAUUUAUGAAUAAUGCUACUUAAG
rnacentral:lncRNA from 1 species